rnacentral:rRNA from 1 species
UUCUCUCCGAAAUCAGUUGUGCCAUUUACCCCUAAUCGAUUGCCCCACUCCCCUGUUUCCCUGUUUGUACGAUUGCCCCAAGGCACCGCCUCCAACACGCGUCAAGGUGUUUAAUAAACCAAGAGUCCUCGGUCUGGCAACCCGAGCCGCUAAUGAAAGUGAAAGUCGAGACCUCUGUCGUGGAGGGCAUCGACGCCCGGACCUGACGUUCUCUGACGGAUCCGCGGUAGAGCAUGUUUGUUGGGACCCGAAAGAUGGUGAACUAUGCCUGAAUAGGGUGAAGCCAGAGGAAACUCUGGUGGAGGCUCGUAGCGAUUCUGACGUGCAAAUCGAUCGUCAAAUUUGGGUAUAGUGCGAAAGACUAAUCGAGCCAUCCAUCACGUUUUGAUCCUCU